UAUAUACUCCCUCCGUCCGGAAAAACAUGUCCUUCAAAUGAAUGUAUCUAGCACCAAAUUAGUGAUACAUACAUUUGAGGAACAAGUUUGUGACAGGCUUUUUUGGACGGAGGAAGUACUAG
rnacentral:pre_miRNA from 1 species